AUGGAGGCAGCCAUCGACAAUAUGGAGCAAAGUGUGAAAACUGCUGAUGGGCGGCUUGGCACCAUAGCAUGGAAGUUGGAUGAGUUUCAGAAAGGGAUCGAAGUGGACAAAAAGACAUCGGUCAUUCAGUUGAUGCAGGGAAUUCACCAAAUCAGGGAGGAUUACGAAUCCCUGCAAGAAGAUCCGACAAGUACACUCACUUCAGAAACAACUCACGAACUCAUUGAAGGAUCAAGUAAACCAAAUGAAAGGAAAGUAUGCUGCUCUACGUAA
rnacentral:lncRNA from 1 species